UUAGAUGGUUGGUGUGUCACUCUGAGCAGACGACUCUGUGAGCAAAGUUGCUUUGAUGCUCUGCAGCCUUGGCCCUGGUGACUGGAAUAGGGGCACCCGUGUCACCAGGAGAAGCUGGGAAUCCAGGGCCCUAUAUACCCAGACCCGUGCACCCAGUCAGCAAUUAAACCACAGGCAACUCAGUGUUUGCAUGCCCUGCGGUUGGAGAAAAUGUGAAGGAGAACAUUCUGCGCCCAGGAUUUCUCUCAGGCAGGCUGGAGACCCGACAGGAGCCCGGCCCACCUUCAACGUGUUCAGAACACUCCUGUGAGUUCCCCAUUCGCCAAAGUUCUUCAACGAAACCUGUUCUAUAAUAGAGGGUCGAGCACUGAUCUGUGAAUACCCACCUCCAAACACCCUCCCGGUACCCUGGAGACCUGCGGUUCUCGCCCUGCCCAUCGAUCCUGGGGCUGUCUGGAGGCCGGGGUUCAGAAAGGUAUAGCACUGUGAACCCCAACCCCCGGGGCAGAGCAGAUCUUGAAAUUCAAAGUAGAGCGUCUGCUGAAUGCAGGUCACGUUGGUGCCAUUGCAAAAUUGCAGAAUUGCAGUUUAGACCAUUAGAAGCUGGGGACCAUCUGUAUAUAGACAGUGGCCCCAGACUCUACCAAGGGGACUAACUCUUUGACUCCUGGGGAAAUUCAAGGGUGGGGUGAGAGAGAGGCCAUCUUCCACACCCAGUGUCCAUGACAGAAGAGGCUGAAUGAGCUUCAUCAAUGAUCGGUGGCAGAUGGUGCUGGGGUUAGGAGGGACGGUGCUUUGU